GGAUGUGAGGGCGAUCUGGCUGCGACAUCUGUCACCCCAUUGAUCGCCAGGGUUGAUUCGGCUGAUCUGGCUGGCUAGGCGGGUGUCCCCCUCCUCCCUCACCGAUCCAUGUGCGUCCCUCCCGAAGCUGCGCGCUCGGUCGAAGAGGACGACCUUCCCCCCCGAGGAGAGGACCGGUCUUCGGUCAAGGGUAUACGAGUAGCUGCGCUCCCCUGCUAGAACCUCCAAACAAGCUCUCAAGGUCCAUAGUACUCCAUGGGGUUCUCCUUUUUGUUCCAUUCAUCUAUGCGUCUGAU
rnacentral:snRNA from 1 species